rnacentral:rRNA from 1 species
CCUACGGGUGGCAGCAGUGAGGAAUAUUGGUCAAUGGCCGAGAGGCUGAACCAGCCAAGUCGCGUGAGGGAAGAAUGUCCUAUGGAUUGUAAACCGCUUUUGUCAGGGAGCAAAGUCACCCACGUGUGGGUGUUUGAGAGUACCUGAAGAAAAAGCAUCGGCUAACUUCGUGCCAGCAGCCGCGGUAAUACGGAGGAUGCGAGCGUUAUCCGGAUUUAUUGGGUUUAAAGGGUGCGUAGGCGGGUUUACAAGUCAGCGGUAAAAUCGUGGAGCUCAACUCCAUCCAGCCGUUGAAACUGAUGAUCUUGGGUGGGCGAGAAGUAUGCGGAAUGCGUGGUGUGGCGGUGAAAUGCAUAGGUAUCACGAAGAACUCCGAUUGCGAAGGCAGCAUACCGGCGCCCUACUAACGCUGAAGCACGAAAGCGUGGGUAUCGAACAGGAUUGGUUACCCGGUAGUC